rnacentral:lncRNA from 1 species
GGACAUUAGCCCAAUUUGUAGGGGAAUACCUGCAUCCAGAUAUUCCUAGCUGUGUGUUGUUUGGGUAGUUGCUCUGAAACUUGGUUUCUCCAGUUAUAGAAUGGGAAUACUCAAGCCAACCACCAUGGAAUGGCUGUGACAUUGAGAGGAGAUAAUGUCUGAGAGCAAGUUCUAUAAGUUAUAAAAUGCUCUUGAAAUAUGAAGGACUAUUAUUUUACAGUACUCAUGGAACAUCAACAUGUAAAAGUAUGGUUACUCUGCUCAGGAAUGUUGACAGAAGGAGCUCUGCUAUGCCUGUCUCCUAUUCAAAUUUAAUCCUGAACUGCUCUCCUCAUACCAUCUUGUUUUUCACCUAUUUGUCUACUAACCUUGCUAUUACCACCACUCUUCCUCCUUACUUAAAGAACAAUUCUUGCAUCAGUCUUAUCUCCAUCUCUACCCAGGCUUUUGUAGUCACCAGUCCUGUUUUCCACCCAGACUAUACCAACUCAGACUGUUUUCAAUUGACACUCCCCCAGGGACACCUAUGGUUUUCUUAUUCCAGGAAAACCCUGAUUGGCGGCACCCCUGCCCAAUAGUCAGGACUCAGGCAGGAGGCAGUAUGGGCAUAGAAAGGAGGCAGAAAUGGAGGAAUCUUUGCAGCAGAUUCAUUCUUAUGGACUGAGGAAGGGACUUAGUUUCCUUAGAAAGAGUGACUUAGGGACCUAUGGUGACCAAGAUGAAACCCAUGAUCUAAUGGAACUUAUAUUUAAGAGGUGGAACUGACUAUAAAC